CAGAGGUCCCGAGCGUUGUUCGGAUUCAUUGGGCGUAAAGGGUGCGUAGGCGGCUUUUUAAGUCUGAUGUGAAAUCCCGGGGCUCAACCCCGGAACUGCAUUGGAUACUGAGGAGCUAGAGUACUGGAGAGGAAACUGGAAUUUACGGUGUAGCAGUGAAAUGCGUAGAGAUCGUAAGGAAGGCCAGUGGCGAAGGCGAGUUUCUGGACAGUUACUGACGCUGAGGCACGAAGGCCAGGGGAGCAAACGGGAUUAGAUACCCCGGUAGUCCUGGCAGUAAACGGUGCACGUUUGGUGUGGGAGGAAUCGACCCCUUCCGUGCCGGAGCUAACGCGUUAAACGUGCCGCCUGGGGAGUACGGUCGCAAGAUUA
rnacentral:rRNA from 1 species